AUUCAGCUGGAGUUGCUGAGAGCAUGGUCUAGGAGUCUGGAGCUGUGGGUAGCCUCUGGUCACCCCAGUUAGAGACCCUACCAGCUACAGAAUAUGACACAGAAGAAAGCAGAGUAAGGAGGCUCACACAAGGGCGUAAGGACAAGGUUAAGCCAGAGAGCCAAAUAGGACAGAACUUUUGGGAAAACAACACAGAAGAAAGCAGAGUUAAGAGAAACUCCCAGGAAGACCCAAGGACAGAAGUCAAGCCAUAGAACCAAAUAGGACAGAACUUUUCUGAUUUCAUUGGAUAGUCUUCACAGAGGAUGCUACCAUUUAUGAAUAUCCAUUUCAGUUUUCCCAAGAACUGUGUUGUCAAGACAAACAUCAGUGCAGAUUUAAGUACUGGACUCUGUCACCACCAUGCCCAGGAUGGAAAACGAAUGCCUCUGCCACAAGCAGUGAAACCCACAUAAAAAGAGUCUCCAACGAGAAACCAGUAUCUCCACUGGAGAGAGUCUUUGUUUACUGCUAACUUAUUUGAAUGGAUUGUCUCCAUAGAGUGGUGAGAAGAGUUCCCCACCCUACAUUUUUGGAGUAAACCAGGGCUUUCAUUCAGAUAAAAGAGCCCCUAAGCCACUAUUUAGGAACCAACUUAAUCCUGCAUACUUGCCCUAGAAGAAAUUUUGUUUCUAGUUCUUGUCCAGAGUGUUGAGCUACUGUUUUCCAUGCUCUGCUUAAAUUCACCUCUUAAAUAGAAGGAAUUCCAUCUAUUGCAGAGGCAACGUUUAAACAUAGUAAGAGAAUUAUAGCAAGCAAAGGAAGGUCAGAAGCUUGAUGGAAAAGUAGAAAGAAGGGAGAGGACAGAAAAUGGGAGAAAAAAGACAUUGAUAUAAAAAGUGCUUUUUUCAAAAAACUGCAAGGAAGAAAAUGGAACAAGGAAGUUAGAGAUGGGGAAAACCCUGGCGAUCAUGAAACUAGAUUUUUUUUUUCUUCUCAAACAUCAUCUCCCUCAUGGAAGUAAAUGGACUUAACUGUGGACAGUCUUUCCUUGACAGGAUUCUCAUCUACUCUCCAAGCCUACAGGCCAGCCUUGGUAGACAUGGCAUGACAGCAUAGUGAUUAGUCAAUGAUGCCCAACAGACAACAAAGGGCAAUGAUAACUGGCAAUCAUGCUUGCAAGUAGCCCAUAGUAGUCACAUGUCAUGAAGGGCCUUGUGAAAUCAGUUAAAGUCUAAAUUAUCAACAAAGUUAUACAAAAUGCAUUGGGACUUUAUUUAGGUCACCUUAUUCUUUGUAAUACGUAGUUCCCUCAAGGGUUACGAGAAAGGUUAUUCAUUUGAAAAUAAAAGGAAA